CUUGAACGCUGGCGGCAGGCCUAACACAUGCAAGUCGAGCGAGCGGCGGACGGGUGAGAAAUGUAUGGGGACUGCCCGAUAGAGGGGGAUAACUACUGGAAACGGUGGCUAAUACCGCAUACUAUCGGAUAACCCAUAUGGGAUUAGCUAGUAGGUGGGGUAAAGGCUCACCUGGGCGACGAUCUCUAGCUGGUCUGAGAGGAUGAUAAGCCACACUGGGACUGAGACACGUCCCAGACUCCGACGGAGGCAGCAGUGGGGAAUAGUGCACAAUGGGCGCAAGCCUGAUGCAGCCAUGCCGCGUGUAUGAAGACGGCCUUAGGGUUGUAAAGGACUUUCAGCGGGGUGGCGUUACCCGAAGAAGAAGCACGGGCUAAGUCCGUGCCAGCAGCCGCGGUAAUUC
rnacentral:rRNA from 1 species